GCUAUAAUGCAGUCGAGCGAAUGGAUUAAGAGCUUGCUCUUAUGAAGUUAGCGGCGGACGGGUGAGUAACACGUGGGUAACCUGCCCAUAAGACUGGGAUAACUCCGGGAAACCGGGGCUAAUACCGGAUAACAUUUUGAACCGCAUGGUUCGAAAUUGAAAGGCGGCUUCGGCUGUCACUUAUGGAUGGACCCGCGUCGCAUUAGCUAGUUGGUGAGGUAACGGCUCACCAAGGCAACGAUGCGUAGCCGACCUGAGAGGGUGAUCGGCCACACUGGGACUGAGACACGGCCCAAACUCCUACGGGAGGCAGCAGUAGGGAAUCUUCCGCAAUGGACGAAAGUCUGACGGAGCAACGCCGCGUGAGUGAUGAAGGCUUUCGGGUCGUAAAACUCUGUUGUUAGGGAAGAACAAGUGCUAGUUGAAUAAGCUGGCACCUUGACGGUACCUAACCAGAAAGCCACGGCUAACUACGUGCCAGCAGCCGCGGUAAUACGUAGGUGGCAAGCGUUAUCCGGAAUUAUUGGGCGUAAAGCGCGCGCAGGUGGUUUCUUAAGUCUGAUGUGAAAGCCCACGGCUCACCCGUGGAGGGUCAUUGGAAACUGGGAGACUUGAGUGCAGAAGAGGAGAGUGGAAUUCCAUGUGUAGCGGUGAAAUGCGUAGAGAUAUGGAGGAACACCAGUGGCGAAGGCGACUUUCUGGUCUGUAACUGACACUGAGGCGCGAAAGCGUGGGGAGCAAACAGGAUUAGAUACCCUGGUAGUCCACGCCGUACACGAUGAGUGCUAAGUGUUAGAGGGUUUUCCCCCCUUAGUUCUGAAAUUAACGCCUUAAGCACUCCCCCUGGGGAGUACGGCCGCAAGGCUGAAACUCAAAGGAAUUGACGGGGGCCCCCCCCAACGGUGGAGCAUGUGGUUUAAUUUGAAGCAACGCGAAGAACCUUACCAGGUUUUGACAUCCUUUGACCACCCCAGAGAUAGGGCUUUUCCUUCGGGAGCAGAAUGACAGGUGGUGCAUGGUUGUUGUCAACUCGUGUCGUGAGAUGUUGGGUUAAGUUCCGCAACGAGCGCCACCCCUGAUUUUAGUUGCCAUCAUUAAAUUGGGCCCUUUAAGGUGGCUGCCGGUGGCCAACCGGAGGAAGGUGGGGAAGACGUCAAAUCAUCAUUCCCCUUAUGACCUGGGCUACCCCCCUUCUUCAAUGGACGGUUCAAAGAACUGCAAGGCCCCGAGGGGGAACUAAUUUCAUAAAACCGUUUUCAAUUCGGAUUGUAGGCUGCAACUUGCCUUCCUGAAACCGGAAUCGCUUGUUAUCGCGGAUCAACCUGCCCCGGGGAAUUCGUUUCCGGGCCUUGUACCCCCCCCCCGUCCCCCCCCGAGAAUUUGUAACCCCCGAAGUCGGUGGGGUAACCUUUUGGAGCCAGCCGCCUAAG
rnacentral:rRNA from 1 species